UCUAGGAUUAGAUACCCUACUAUGCUUAGCCAUAAACAAAGACGCACAGUCCGCCAGAAGAUUACGAGCAAAAGCUUAAAACUCAAAGGACCUGACGGUACCCCACACCAACCUAGAGGAGCCUGUCCCAUAAUCGAUAACCCGCGAUACACCUGACCACCCCUGGCCAACCCAGUCUAUAUACCGCCGUCGCCAGCCUAUCUUACAAGAGUAAUGGCAAAACAGUACAACACCGUACUAAUACGACAGGUCAAGGCGUAACUCAUGGGGUGGGGUAGAUUGGCUACAAUGCCCCACACCGGGCCAAACGAAACACACCAUGAAAUUGGAGUAUGAAAAUGAAUUUAGCAGUAAGAAGAAGAAGAAGGCUUUUCUGAAAAUAGUUCUGGGAUAAGUACACACCGCCCGUCACCCUCAUCA
rnacentral:rRNA from 1 species